rfam:Monodelphis domestica chromosome 1, whole genome shotgun sequence.
CAAUAGGUCUUUUUAAAGACCAUAGUCAUUUCCUAGUUGGGAUAG